GUGGAAUGAAUGGUCCCCCCUGCAGCUCAGCCUCAUCUCCUUAAUGGAUCCUAAUUACCCCUGUCCUGCUUAUAGCUUCUCUCCAGGACCCACUUGUCAGGAUGAUGGAUGAGGUGACUGGGAGGUGGGGCCAGCUGGGACUGGAGGAAUCCCCCCACUGUCUAGUAGGGCGGGGACGCAGGAACUUUCAGUCAGUCCCAAAGAUUCUGAGGAAGAGAAGACAACAUUGCAGGAUGAGCUCUUCUCCCCUUUUGUCCCCAAAACUUGGGCCAGUUCUAGCAAACUCAUACACCACUCCAGUAGCCCUGUGUAGAGGCCCACAUGGAGAGGAACAAAAUUGCCAGCACUAACUCAUGAGGCAUAUGAGUGAACCAACUUAAGAGCAUAUCCUCCAGCCCUGGUCAAGCCUUCAGAUGACUUCAGUCCCUCAGCCCUCAUGUGCUCCAGUUGAGGCCCCAGACAUCAUGGAGCAGAGGUAAGACAUCCUCCCUGUGCCCGUCUGAAUUCCUGACUCACCUAAACCAUGAGAUGAUACAUGAUUACUGUUUAUGAUGUCAUUAGGCUUGGGGUGGUUUGUUAUGCAGCCAUAUAUAACCAGUGUUCCAGGUCCGCUGUGAUGGAGUGAGACAUUUAACUCAGGCGGAGGGGGGAAUGCCAUUUUGACAAGCUUAUAUGGCCACAGAUCUAAGCUGUGCCAUCAGCAAAGCAGUGUUUCCAGAUGAUGUGGUCAAGCCUUCCUUGAGGAGUACAUAGCCCCUGCUAGUAUUUGGGGAAUGGCUUUAAAAGUCUACCUUGGCAGGCGUCAGCUGUGGCCUGGGAGAUUGGCAGGAGUGGUAGAGGCCAGCAGGGCCAGGGGAAGGAAGUGGUUUAACCCUUCACUCUUGAAGGGAGCUGGGAUAUUGGGGAAGUGUCAGGAAGAGGAACCUUGGAAGAGCAACCUGAUACCAGGCCAGGGAGAUAAUGCCAGAACCUCAAAUGUGGGCCAAUGCUUUCCUGCCCAGGCCAGGAAGCUUGCCUCUACAGUGAAGAGUAAGGGGCCUCAGCCCCUCAAUGAAGAAAUAAAUA
rnacentral:lncRNA from 1 species